CUCUACUAAGAUCUGGCAACUCACCGGGAUCUCUUUUCCACAAGGUGUAUAAUUCUGCACUUGGCAUGGCCCUGAUGUGGAGAAUCUCAGGACUAUGUUGUAAUUCUCCUAUUGGGACUUGCCAUAUACUUGACAUGGCACCUGUCCCCACACAGAUCUCCUAUACCCCAGUGUUAGACAAUUUGAAUGGCCAGUGGCAGAGUCACUCCUUGCACCACAGCCUGCUUUGGACUCCCUCAAACCUGACAGCUUUUGGUGUUACCUGCAAGAAAUCUUUGGUACAGUGGACCAGUGAUCUUCUGAAGAUUUCCAGAUGGUCCAUGUCUCCUCAGACUGUUAUGACAGAGAGAGAAGAGUUGUCAUAGCCUGGUGGCAGAGCUGUAAAUGUAUACUGUUGUCUAUUCCAACUGAAUAUGAGUUAUUUCUUAUCCCUUUUAGGGAUAGAAAAUGAA